CGUCGGAGUUGCGACGAAGGACCUGUGGCCCAAUGGUCAAGGCGCCGAGCUUAUGUAAACAUUCCCUUUGGGGAGUUUCCAUGCCGUUCCUCGGAGAUUCGUGGUUCAAUCCCGCGCAGGUCCAC
rnacentral:tRNA from 1 species